UUCAGGUCUCCUGCACUGCAGGCAGAUUCUUUACCACUGAGCCACCAGGGAACUAUACUGGGUGGGAUUGUCCAUGCUCUAUAACUUACUAACUUUGCAUUUUUUUUGUACCCCAAAUUAACCAACUAUUCUAGUUCAUGAUUUAUCACAUAGUAAUUAAAAAAUGAAUAUAUAUAACCAGUAAGUAAUUUUGGUUUUAACUUUUUUUUUUCUUACUUUCAGGACAUAUGUGUAUAACAUUGACAAUUUUGCUUAUAAUGCUAGAAACCAUGGCUAACUGAACCAAAGAAGUUGAGAAGAAAGUGUUUUGCAUAUUAUCUUGUUUUUAAGAUGCAUAGGAAUGUCCACGAAGCAAGGAAAGAUGAAUCUGUCCUGGAAUCACAUUCUCAACACUCCUAAGACCCUUGAAAAUAGAACAAUUCAUAAGAUUAAGAGUGAUUACUUUCAUAAAAGUGUGGGAAAGUGGAGAGAUUUGUUCAUGUUUAGAAUGUGAGAAAGAAGAAAAAAAAGAAUUUUUUUUCACCAAAUAUGUAAUGUUAUUUUUAUUUAUAAAAGACAAAAAAAUUAAAACAAUUGGAUAUUGAAAACAAAUGAACCAGUCUCUUAUAAGGAAAAUUGUCAAAAAGAUAAAACACAUUAUACAAUAAUUUUCCUUGACUAAAGGGCAUUUUCUACUUUUCUUAUUCUAUUAAAAUGAGCCUGAAUUAGUUGGCAAAUUUUUUUAAAGGAAAAACAUGAUGAUGAUCCAAGAGUGUUGAGUUUCUUGGGUUAGUUGGUGACAAAGGAAGAAUACAUAAUGAAGGAAUAAUUCUUCCUUUUUCAUUAAUUGCAGAUAGUGAAUUAGCCCCUUAUUUGUAAGAUAGUUAGAACAAUUUUUUCUAUUUGAAAAAAUGCCCCUAUGAAAGAGUGAAAGUUGUCUUAGAUUGACUUAAUGUCUUUAAAACUCUGUAGAGAUAUUGUAAUAUUAGUAUAAGAAAAGAUGCUAUAUUUCUGAAGUGAGAUAUUCAUAUUCAAAUUGUAAAUCUUAUUCUUUUGUAAUAUUAAGUUUAAUUUAUAUUUAUUUAUGUUUUACAUGUAUAUCAGAAAAAGUUCAAGGAGAUAUGUAAAGCAAAAUUUAUUUUCCCUAAGUAGAAAUAACCACAUUUUUGUCUCAUGUAUUAUUUGACAUUUAUUUUCUUGUGUAAAUUAUUUAUAAAUAAGGGAGCCCCUUCCUGCCUUUCAUAGGAGUUUAGAAUGCUGCCCUUUGGCCUAGUGAGAAUCACUUUUAAUGUAUUACUUGUUGUUGAUUUAACUAAAGGCAAUCACAUCAGUUUUCAGAUUCUUAAUAUGUUCUUGUCAUCUUGCCACUUACAUGUUAAGUGUUGGAAUAGACUAGAAUAUAUACAUAAAUAAAUUUCACAAUAAUUAUAUUGUCA
rnacentral:lncRNA from 1 species